UUUCAACAGGGUUUUUGUCCCAUGAUUCAUAGUUUAAUUUAAAUUUGGGGCCCCAGAUUUCACAUCCAUAGAGGAGAAUGGGUUUGAUGAUGCUAUCGAAGAUUUUCAGCCACAGUUUAAUGGGUGGGUUGAAUCUGAACAGGGGUCGUCUUAUACUGUAAAAAGCCCUGCGUGCCUUAUCCGUCAGAUCUUUGAUUGCAGUAUUGAGCCGUCCAGAGGCUGAGAUCGUCAGACCCAAAUAAUUAUAACAGGGGAAAAUAACAGAGGAAACAAAAACAAACAUGGAUUCAAUUCAGUUCUGUCAGCCCCUCAUCAUGUCAGUCGACAGGUGGAUCCUGUUCACCAAAGGGGAAGGUGCUGGUGGGCUUCCCACAGCAGGGGCCCUUGUUCCAGGCUGCGAUGAGUGAUGAGGGCCGUCCUCCAGCGGAAGAUGGUCCUUUCCUCCCUAUUCCUCCACUCCAUUCAUGAGCAACUUGACCACAAGAUCUGUCAAUCAAGCUCAGUGUGUGUGAAUAAAAAUACUGAGGCGGCUGCUGAUUGGCCGGUCUCGCAGCAGAUAAAAGACUGGGGCUUAUUAAAACUGUCAAUAGCAUUGUCCUGAAGAAUGCUUUGAGAAGACUGAGAUUCAUUUGAGGAAUUCCACUAUGCUUGAUGGCUGAUGAACUGUUAGGAAGGGCUUGGUGUGUAUGCGUGCAUUCAGACGUUUAAGAAAAAAACAUGCCUUUUUAUUUUUUUGCUUUUUUGUCAGUUUAAUUUCAUGCAACAAUACCUAGAGAGGGUAGGAGUGAUUGGGAAAUAGAGGUGAAGGGUGAGCUGUCUGCAUAAGC